rnacentral:misc_RNA from 1 species
GAGUUCAUGCCCUCACGGGUAGAUCUCCCACCCUUUGUAUACCAUACCUCUGUUGCUUUGGCGGGCCGCCUAGCUACUGGCUUCGGCUGGUAAGUGCCCGCCAGAGGACCCAAAACCCUGAAUAUUAGUGUCGUCUGAGUAAAAUUUUAAUAUUUAAAACUUUCAACAACGGAUCUCUUGGCUCU